rnacentral:ncRNA from 1 species
GGAAGCCGGGUUACGGUGCCCAACUGCGCGCUAACCUAGAACCCACAAAGGGUGUUGGUCGAUUAAGACAGCAGGACGGUGGUCAUGGAAGUCGAAAUCCGCUAAGGAGUGUGUAACAACUCACCUGCCGAAUCAACUAGCCCCNNAAAUGGAUGGCGCUGAAGCGCGCGCCCCACACCCGGCCAUCUGGGCGAGCGCCAUGCCCCGAUGAGUAGGAGGGCGCGGC